rnacentral:rRNA from 1 species
GAUGAACGCUGGCGGCGUGCAUAACACACUCAAGUCGAACGGGCAAGGGGCUUCGGCCCUGCGUUAGUGGCGGACGGGUGAGUAACGCGUGAGCAACCUGUCUCUUUGUGUGGGAUAACGUUUGGAAACGAACGCUAAUACCGCAUAAUGCAUAGAGACCGCAUGAUCUUUAUGCCAAAGAUUUAUUGCAGAGAGAUGGGCUCGCGUCCGAUUAGAUAGUUGGUGAGGUAACGGCUCACCAAGUCGACGAUCGGUAGCCGGACUGAGAGGUUGAACGGCCACAUUGGAACUGAGAAACGGCCCAG